rnacentral:ncRNA from 1 species
UUUAAUAAAACUGAAACAGGUGCCGUGAGGCUUAAUAGAGAAGCUGGUCAAGUCCAGCACGGUCCCGCCACUGUAAGAGGAGCGAAGCUAUAGAAUUUGUCACUGGGUUACGGUUAAUGUAAUCUGGGAAGGCGUGUAGCAGAGCUAUGAAUCAAGUCAGGAGAACUGCCUGUUUAUAAAUCACCGU